rnacentral:rRNA from 1 species
GCAUAUCAAUAAGCGGAGGAAAAGAAACCAACAGGGAUUGCUCUAGUAACGGCGAGUGAAGCAGCAAUAGCUCAAAUUUGAAAUCUGGCGUCUUCGACGUCCGAGUUGUAAUUUGUAGAGGAUGCUUCUGAGUAACCACCGACCUAAGUUCCUUGGAACAGGACGUCAUAGAGGGUGAGAAUCCCGUAUGCGGUCGGAAAGGUGCUCUAUACGUAGCUCCUUCGACGAGUCGAGUUGUUUGGGAAUGCAGCUCUAAAUGGGAGGUAAAUUUCUUCUAAAGCUAAAUAUUGGCCAGAGACCGAUAGCGCACAAGUAGAGUGAUCGAAAGAUGAAAAGCACUUUGGAAAGAGAGUUAAAAAGCACGUGAAAUUGUUAAAAGGGAAGGGAUUGCAACCAGACUUGCUCGCGGUGUUCCGCCGGUCUUCUGACCGGUCUACUCGCCGCGUUGCAGGCCAGCAUCGUCUGGUGCCGCUGGAUAAGACUUGAGGAAUGUAGCUCCCUCGGGAGUGUUAUAGCCUCUUGUGAUGCAGCGAGCGCCGGGCGAGGUCCGCGCUUCGGCUAGGAUGCUGGCGUAAUGGUCGUAAUCCGCCCGUCUUGAAACACGGACCAAGGAGUCUAACAUCUAUGCGAGUGUUCGGGUGUCAAACCCCUACGCGUAAUGAAAGUGAACGGAGGUGAGAACCGCAAGGUGCAUCAUCGACCGAUCCUGAUGUCUUCGGAUGGAUUUGAGUAAGAGCAUAGCUGUUGGGACCCGAAAGAUGGUGAACUAUGCCUGAAUAGGGUGAAGCCAGAGGAAACUCUGGUGGAGGCUCGCAGCGGUUCUGACGUGCAAAUCGAUCGUCAAAUUUGGGUAUAGGGGCGAAAGACUAAUCGAACCAUCUAGUAGCUGGGUUCUGCCGA